UACCCAGAGUGUCUGUGAUGGUCCUGUA
rnacentral:piRNA from 1 species